AAAAAAUGGCCACUGCAUCAGCUAGUAGAGGAGCACAAACCUUCAACUGCAUGCAUUUCAAGCCAAUAUUGAGGAAAGCCUACCAUCGAAAGAGUGGUCCGCCGGACAUGAUGAGUGACAAGGUCAAAUUGAACGGGGAGGAGACGAAGAAUAAAAGUAUCGCUAUACAACAUGAUCCUACUUGGUGGAUUCCAGAUGAUCGAACUGGAAUUUAUUAUCCUAAGGGUCAUGAGAAGGUGAUACAAGACGUUCCUCAAACAUCGAUAGAAGAUUUUGGAGCCAUUAAUUGGUUUUCAAAUCAUGAGGAUUGUAUUUAAUGAGUUAUUCUUGAACCGACUUAAUAUGUUGGUACUACGUUAUUUGUCUCCAUUUAUCUUUUACUUAAAUAUAUGAAAUUUAAUUGUGUCGUAUUC